rnacentral:rRNA from 1 species
AACGAACGCUGGCGGCAGGCCUAACACAUGCAAGUAGAACGCUGACUACUUUAGCUUGCUAGAGUAGAAGGAGUUGCGAACGGGUGAGUAACGCGUAGGUAACCUGCCUACUAGCGCGGGAUAACUAUUGGAAACGAUAGCUAAUACCGCAUAACAGUGUUUAACACAUGUUAGAUGCUUGAAAGAUGCAAUUGCAUCACUAGUAGAUGGACCUGCGUUGUAUUAGCUAGUUGGUGGGGUAACGGCCCACCAAGGCGACGAUACAUAGCCGACCUGAGAGGGUGAUCGGCCACACUGGGACUGAGACACGGCCCAGACUCCUACGGGAGGCAGCAGUAGGGAAUCUUCGGCAAUGGGGGCAACCCUGACCGAGCAACGCCGCGUGAGUGAAGAAGGUUUUCGGAUCGUAAAGCUCUGUUGUAAGAGAAGAACGUGUGUGAGAGUGGAAAGUUCACACAGUGACGGUAACUUACCAGAAAGGGACGGCUAACUACGUGCCAGCCGCCGCAGUAA